rnacentral:rRNA from 1 species
AGGGGGUGACGUUGUCGGCAUAUUGGGCGUAAGGGCUCGCAGGCGGUUUCUUAAGUCUGAUGUGAAAGCCCCCGGCUCAGCCGGGGAGGGUCAUUGGAAACUGGGGAACUUGAGUGCAGAAGAGGAGAGUGGAAUUCCACGUGUAGCGGUGAAAUGCGUAGAGAUGUGGAGGAACACCAGUGGCGAAGGCGACUCUCUGGUCUGUAACUGACGCUGAGGAGCGAAAGCGUGGGGAGCGAACAGGAUUAGAUACCCUGGUAGUCCACGCCGUAAACGAUGAGUGCUAAGUGUUAGGGGGUUUCCGCCCCUUAGUGCUGCAGCUAACGCAUUAAGCACUCCGCCUGGGGAGUACGGUCGCAAGACUGAAACUCAAAGGAAUUGACGGGGGCCCGCACAAGCGGUGGAGCAUGUGGUUUAAUUCGAAGCAACGCGAAGAACCUUACCAGGUCUUGACAUCCUCUGACAAUCCUAGAGAUAGGACGUCCCCUUCGGGGGCAGAGUGACAGGUGGUGCAUGGUUGUCGUCAGCUCGUGUCGUGAGAUGUUGGGUUAAGUCCCGCAACGAGCGCAACCCUUGAUCUUAGUUGCCAGCAUUCAGUUGGGCACUCUAAGGUGACUGCCGGUGACAAACCGGAGGAAGGUGGGGAUGACGUCAAAUCAUCAUGCCCCUUAUGACCUGGGCUACACACGUGCUACAAUGGACAGAACAAAGGGCAGCGAAACCGCGAGGUUAAGCCAAUCCCACAAAUCUGUUCUCAGUUCGGAUCGCAGUCUGCAACUCGACUGCGUGAAGCUGGAAUCGCUAGUAAUCGCGGAUCAGCAUGCCGCGGUUGAAUACGUUCCCGGGCCUUGUACACACCGCCCGUCACACCACGAGAGUUUGUAACACCCGAAGUCGGUGAGGUAACCUUUUAGGAGCCAGCCGCCGAAGGUGGGACAGAUGAUUGGGUGAUCUAUAGGAGGGAGAACGCAGAUAUAGAAGGGCCCUUUUUUCCCGCGCGGGUUU